rnacentral:rRNA from 1 species
AGUGAACACUGGCGGCGUGCUUAACACAUGCAAGUCGAACGAGAACGGAUUAUAGCUUGCUAUAAUUGUCAGCUAAGUGGCGCACGGGUGAGUAAUGUAUAGGUAAUAUGCCUCUUACUAAGGGAUAACAAAUGGAAACGUUUGAUAAUACCUUAUACUUCUUAUUAACAGAAGUUAAUAAGGGAAAGAUUUAUUGGUAAGAGAUUAGCCUGUAUUGUAUCAGUUAGUUGGUAGGGUAAUGGCUUAACAAGACUAUAACACAUAACUGGUUUGAGAGGAUGAACCGUCACACUGGAACUGAGACACGGUCCAGACUCCUACGGGAGGCAGCAGUGGGGAAUAUUGCACAAUGGACGAAAGUCUGAUGCAGCAACGCCGCGUGGAGGAUGACACAUUUCGGUGCGUAAACUCCUUUUAUAUGAGAAGAUAAUGACGGUAUUAUAUGAAUAAGCACCGGCUAACUCCGUGCCAGCCGCCGCGGUAA